CUACGGGGGGCAGCAGUGAGGAAUAUUGCGCAAUGGGGGAAACCCUGACGCAGCGACGCCGCGUGGAUGAUGAAGGCCUUAGGGUCGUAAAAUCCUGUCAGGUGGGAAGAAGUGGAUAUAGAUUAAUACUCUAUUUCUUUGACGGUACCACCAAAGGAAGCACCGGCUAACUCCGUGCCAGCAGCCGCGGUAAUACGGAGGGUGCAAACGUUGUUCGGAAUUACUGGGCGUAAAGCGCGCGUAGGCGGUUUGCUAAGUCAGAUGUGAAAGUCCAUGGCCCAACUAUGGAAGUGCAUUUGAAACUGGCAGACUUGAGUACUGGAGGGGGUGAUGGAAUUCCCGGUGUAGAGGUGAAAUUCGUAGAUAUCGGGAGGAAUACCGGUGGCGAAGGCGAUCACCUGGCCAGAUACUGACGCUGAGGUGCGAAAGCGUGGGGAGCAAACAGGAUUAGAUACCCCGGUAGUC
rnacentral:rRNA from 1 species